UAUCUCUUCUAUCCUAUUCAAAAUCUUAAGAGAUAAAGAUUUCAAAGGAUAUUUUACAAAUGUUAGUUUCGCUUUAUUUCAAUAGGAUAGCUGUCAAAAUUUAACAGUAUAACGCUCAAUUCGCAAUUGUUCACGCAAAUACUUUCUUAAAUAUGUCUUAUUAUUUAGUGCCAAAAUGAAAUGAGAAUAGUUAUCAAGUCAAUAAAAAAA